UCCUGACCAGCCCAUGCAGCAGCGUACCUGCAUAAUUCGAUUGCGGGGACUGUGAUACAGAGACGGCUGCGAGAGAUCUGGAAUCUGAGCCAGAACAGGUUUCCCCGCCCUAGAUUUCACCUCCGUAGAGUAUAUCGCAAGGAGGACGGCCUCGAAACCAGCGAGGGAAGGAGAGGAAGUUGACUCCGAUGAGUGGAUCCGUGAGAGGUAAAUGCCGGUGAGAAGAGGAACGAAGGAGAGAACGAUGAGACGGAGGUGAGGAUCAGCGGAAAGGUAAGUUUCGUACAGCCACUGGCAAAGAGGAUCGGCGGCGGAGCCACUGGCAAAGAGGAUCGGAGCCGGAACCGGAAGAAGGAACCAAAAGCGCGGCCGAGAAGAGAGAAUAAGCGUCGGGAGAAGCUAGGAAGGAGAGCGCCGGCCUGUCGGAGUCGGCAAGAGAAGAGAGGGAGAAGGAAGAGGAAGGAUCGGGAGGGAGGAUGGAGUUGAGGACGAGAAUGCGGUACGCGCUCUGGAGAUAGAUUCCCACCAAGAGUGCAUCGGAUCGUUGGUUGUAGCGGCGGUGGAGUUGGUGUUGGCAGCGGUGGCCGAGGAGGAGUUGGUGGUGGUGGUCGGCUGGGGUGUGGAGGAGAUAGAGGAGGAGGAAGAGGUUGGGGAGUAACUGAUCUUGUUGUGGGUGCUGAAGUCCAUGGGUGGAGUUCAGUUGUUUGACUAGGGAGGAGACUGCUUUUGGACAGCAAGAAUGGCGGUGGAGAGAGAAUCGGAGGUUGGUUGGGAAUGGGGAGGCGCCGUUACGGUGGCGGAAGAAAGCGACGCAAGCGGCGAGAAAAGCAAGACUGUUCUUUCCUUUGGCUGGGGCAUGUGCCUUUACAAAAGACGAAGACUGGAAUUGUGAAUUUGCCGAUCAAGAAAAUAAUUAUUACCUAUUUGGUACCUAGACUCUUCUAUAUUUCAUAACUUCAUCCCCUAAAUUUGUAUGGUUUUCCAAGACAUAAGUUAAUAAUCAGUCACCAUACAAAUCAAACCGAGGUCAAUG
rnacentral:lncRNA from 1 species